CAUCACCAGAAAUCCACAUCCCAGCACGCAAAGAGGGGGGGAAUACUGAUAGUACAAGGUCCGACACACAGACCAUAGUACUAAAAGACGUAUCCCAAAGUACCUAGUACGCAGAGGAGGGGGGAGUACUGGUGAUACAGUAUCCCGAACACGGUCACAACCUACCAGCAACUAGAAGUCCGGAUAGCCUAAGAUGAGUUGAGGUAUCUAUUCUAGGGUUAUGGAGGUCCCAGGUCGAAUCCUAGGAAGAUCGACUUUCCUGAGGAUCAACUUCCCUGGGAUCGACUUUUGAGUAAAGUCGAUCACCAGGAAAAGUCGACCCCCAGAAAGUCGAUCUCUGGAAAGUCGACCCCUGGACCCAAUCUGAUCAGUUAGGCAGUUAGGCGGUUACUGCCCAAAUGACCAGAUUGACCCCAUAAGAACCCCUAUAAAUAGAGGGCACCCCCCACUCAUUAAAGGUAGGUCAUUUGGAGAAGAAGAAUUCCUAGCGAAGCAGAGCUCUGCACACUUGAGUUCCGGUCCGGUUUCCCGCGGAGUUCCCCGCUUGGCGCUUGCUUGCGCGUCUUGGAGUACUGGUCGGGUUUCACCCCCAUCAGUUGGCGCCGUCUGUGACUCAAAGAUACUCACGACAAAAGCUCCUCGACUUUUUCGAAAAAAGCGAUCGACUUUUUUCCAAGUCGCCAGCUAGGGAGUCUCGCGAGGAAAUCAGCCAGCAAGGGAUCGACAUUUCAGAAGAUCGACUUUUUCUUCCAAGGAAAAAAGUCGAUCCCUCAAGGAGCUAGGCUUUCAGGCAUCAACUUCCAAGGAAUCCUCCAAGUGCACUAGGGAUCGACUUUUUGAAGAUCGACUUUUUCUUCCAAGAAAAAAAAGUCGAUCCCUUAAGGAGCCAGGCUUUCAGGCAUCGACUUCUGAGGAAUCCUCCAAGUGCACUAGGGAUCGACUUUUUGAAGUUCGACUUUUUCUUCCAAGGAAAAAGUCGAUCCCUCAAGGAGCCAGGCUUUCAGGCAUCGACUUUUUAAAAAAUCCCAAGGAUUGGGAUAGACUUUUUAAAAUCCCAAGGAUUGGGAUAGACUUUUUAAAAAUCCCAAAGAUUGAGAUAGACUUUUUAAAAAAUCCCAAAGAUUGGGAUAGACUUUUUAAAAAAUCCCAAAGAUUGGGAUAGACUUUUUAAAAUCCCAAGGAUUGGGAUAGACUUUUUAAAAUCCCAAGAAGUGGG
rnacentral:lncRNA from 1 species